GACGAACGCUGGCGGCGUGCCUAAUACAUGCAAGUCGAACGCACUCUCGUUAGAUUGAAGAAGCUUGCUUCUGAUUGAUAACAUUUGAGUGAGUGGCGGACGGGUGAGUAACACGUGGGUAACCUGCCCUAAAGUGGGGGAUAACAUUUGGAAACAGAUGCUAAUACCGCAUAAAACCUAGCACCGCAUGGUGCAAGGUUGAAAGAUGGUUUCGGCUAUCACUUUAGGAUGGACCCGCGGUGCAUUAGUUAGUUGGUGAGGUAAAGGCUCACCAAGACCGUGAUGCAUAGCCGACCUGAGAGGGUAAUCGGCCACACUGGGACUGAGACACGGCCCAGACUCCUACGGGAGGCAGCAGUAGGGAAUCUUCCACAAUGGACGAAAGUCUGAUGGAGCAACGCCGCGUGAGUGAAGAAGGUUUUCGGAUCGUAAACUCUGUUGUUGGAGAAGAACGUAUUUGAUAGUAACUGAUCAGGUAGUGACGGUAUCCAGCCAGAAAGCCACGG
rnacentral:rRNA from 1 species